UACGGAGGGGGCUAGCGUUGUUCGGAAUUACUGGGCGUAAAGGGCGCGUAGGCGGCGAUUCAAGUCAGGCGUGAAAGGCCUGGGCUCAACCCGGGAACUGCGCUUGACACUGGAUUGCUUGAGUCCGGGAGAGGAUGGCGGAAUUCCCAGUGUAGAGGUGAAAUUCGUAGAUAUUGGGAAGAACACCGGUGGCGAAGGCGGCCAUCUGGACCGGAACUGACGCUGAGGCGCGAAAGCGUGGGGAGCAAACAGG
rnacentral:rRNA from 1 species